rnacentral:rRNA from 1 species
UACAGAGGGUGCGAGCGUUAAUCGGAAUUACUGGGCGUAAAGCGCGCGUAGGCGGCUUUGCAAGUCGUGUGUGAAAUCCCCAGGCUUAACCUGGGAACUGCAUUCGAGACUGCAUAGCUAGAGUAUGGGAGAGGGAAGUGGAAUUUCAGGUGUAGCGGUGAAAUGCGUAGAUAUCUGAAGGAACAUCAGUGGCGAAAGCGACUUCCUGGACCAAUACUGACGCUCAUGUGCGAAAGCGUGGGGAGCAAACAGG